AGUGAACGCUGGCGGUAGGCCUAACACAUGCAAGUCGAACGGCAGCACAGUAAGAGCUUGCUCUUACGGGUGGCGAGUGGCGGACGGGUGAGGAAUACAUCGGAAUCUACUUUUUCGUGGGGGAUAACGUAGGGAAACUUACGCUAAUACCGCAUACGACCUACGGGUGAAAGCAGGGGAUCUUCGGACCUUGCGCGAUUGAAUGAGCCGAUGUCGGAUUAGCUAGUUGGCGGGGUAAAGGCCCACCAAGGCGGCGAUCCGUAGCUGGUCUGAGAGGAUGAUCAGCCACACUGGAGCUGAGACACGGUCCAGAGUCCUACGGGAGGCAGCAGUGGGGAAUAUGGGACAAUGGGCGCAAGCCUGAUCCAGCCAUACCGCGUGGGUGAAGAAGGCCUUCGGGUUGUAAAGCCCUUUUGUUGGGAAAGAAAAGCAGCAGGUUAAUACCCCGCUGUUCUGACGGUACCCAAAGAAUAAGCACCGGCUAACUUCGUG
rnacentral:rRNA from 1 species